GAUGGCAUCAUCUUCCGGUUAAAUAUUCAUAGGAUAUGGAUGGGCUCGCGUGACAUUAGCUAGUUGGUGGGGUAACGGCCCACCAAGGCGACGAUGUCUAGGGGCUCUGAGAGGAGAAUCCCCCACACUGGUACUGAGACACGGACCAGACUCCUACGGGAGGCAGCAGUAAGGAAUAUUGGUCAAUGGGGGCAACCCUGAACCAGCCAUGCCGCGUGCAGGACGACUGCCCUAUGGGUUGUAAACUGCUUUUGUUAGGGAAUAAACCCCACUACGUGUAGUGGGCUGAAUGUACCUAAGGAAUAAGGAUCGGCUAACUCCGUGCCAGCAGCCGCGGUAAUACGGAGGAUCCGAGCGUUAUCCGGAUUUAUUGGGUUUAAAGGGUGCGUAGGCGGCACUUUAAGUCAGGGGUGAAAGACGGCAGCUCAACUGUCGCAGUGCCCUUGAUACUGAAGUGCUUGAAUGCGGUUGAAGACGGCGGAAUGAGACAAGUAGCGGUGAAAUGCAUAGAUAUGUCUCAGAACACCGAUUGCGAAGGCAGCUGUCUAAGCCGUUAUUGACGCUGAUGCACGAAAGCGUGGGGAUCGAACAGGAUUAGAUACCCUGGUAGUCCACGCCCUAAACG
rnacentral:rRNA from 1 species